GUCCCCAGGGUCCAAAUUUAAUGGACUCGGAAGAAUCCUGCCUGAGGCCUGUCUGCUGCAUUUCCAAGCACACCAGUUUCUUCCUAUUCUCCAGAAGUUCAUUGAGCAAAUUACCCACCACGAUAGUCCCAUCACUUCUUGUGAGACUGCCUUGUUCACCCAAGAUGCCCCAUCCCCCACCUCCACAAAGAUGGAUCGAUGAGGUUUGACAGGUGUGACUUUGGAAAUGAAGACAGAUGACCAGCAAUGCUCUGACUCUACAAGAACUAUUCCGAGAAUAGGGAGCUCAGAUGGGGAUUCUGGGGCGUGAACUCUUUGGCUGAGCAACAAAUGCACUUGGGAGUAGGAGAAGAUGGCGGGGGCAACAUGGCAGUAUCCUCUCUACUGAGUGGUAUUUUACAGAUUUGCCCUGGGUUAACAUCCACUGCCAAGCUUCCAUAGCAUGGCCACUGGCAAGUGGUGUAGGUCCACGCUCCAGAACUGAACCCAGGCCACCGAAGCAGAGCAUGUGGAACUUAACCACCAGGCCACCGGAGCUGGCUCCUAAGUAUCCACUUCUUUCAAUAAAUUCAGUUUUCU
rnacentral:lncRNA from 1 species